UUAAAUAUGGGGAGGCUGUGCUUUAUUCUCUCUCACACUGAAACAGCUGAUAAUGACUCUCACAUUUCUUCCCUGCCCUACGAUGACUCCGAUGCCUAGUGCCCUGGAUGAGAUAUGUUCUUGAGUUGCUGCUCAAGAGGAUGCUUGCUUCAGAUCACAACCAGUUGACCUCAGCAGGUGGCUUGGCAUCUUUAAGAUGCCUCCUCAUGGCAAAAGCAUUGGAAGAACAUUGACCAAAGGAACGUGAUUGUGGAGUUGAAGAGCUCCAGCUGGAAGAGGCUCAGCCACCAUGCGUCUAAUGCUUUAGUUUCAUAGAAUAUGGCAGAGGUCAAAAGAACUUAAAUCAGUGAUUUGCAAGUUUGGCUGUAUAUUGGGAUCACUUAUAAACCACUGCUGCCUCGGCCCUAUCUCCAGAGUCAUUGAUUUGGUGUGUACUUAGGACACAUGGUGUUUAAAAUCCCCUCUGGCUGACUCUUCUAUCCCAAGACUAAUGUGAUACACAGUAUGCCUGUGUUGAUGUACUAAGUCUGCUCUUAGCAAGCUAUCCAAAUAUUUUAGUAUUGGGGUAUGUUAACCAUGAAGCUAUUCCUUAAGCCU